rnacentral:lncRNA from 1 species
GCCUGGCACUCAUGGGCAGUGUACACAGAACCAGAACCAGGGACGGGACAAGAAGAAAAGAAGGACCACGCCUGUGGUGCCAGCGCCAACAGUGAGGCCAGCAACAGCGAGCUGGACUGCACAGAGUAGAAGGCCAACAAGGACCUCUCCAAGAUGGUACUUCUCUAUGUGGUUCCUGCUGUCCAGGGUUUCUUCCACUCCAUCUCCCUCUCCAGGGGGAACACCUUCCAGGACACCCUCAGGGUGCUGACCCUCUGGUUUGACUAUGGGUACUGGCCUGAAGUCAACAAGGCACUGGUGGAGGGCAUCAAAACCAUUCAGAUGGACACCUGGAUCUCACAUGCUCAUUUUCGAUUUGCUUUUAUUGUUAUGUCCGUUGUGAUAAAAGUUGAAACUGAAUUCUUCCCAUGGGCAAGGUUGGUCUUGGGCCAUGAAUCAUCCAUAACAGUUAUUCAACAAAGUCUUAUAGGACAGUAACAGAAUAGGAAAGCCACAUUGCAUUUCCACGGGGGGAUAACUAUGUUAUGUCUCCCUCUUGCCCCCUCGCCCAUAGGUGAUCCCCCAGCUGAUUGCCCACAAUGACACUCCCCGCGCUCUUGUGGGCCGCCUCAUCCACAAGCUGCUCACUGACAUUAUUCGGUAAGACCCCCAGGUAACGAUUGACAUACUGCUGCUGGAGCUAGGUAGCCUUGGUUGGAAGCCUAUUUCUGCUCUCUUUCCAACUUCAUUAAAUGAUCGUGCCAUGUUCUAUCUCUCCCUCUUUUCUUCUGGUCUUUGAGCUAUCCGUUGACCGUGGCCUCCAAGUCUACCACCAAUGCCCGCCACAACGCUGCUAACAGGAUCCUCGAGAACAUGUGUGAGAACUGCAACACCCUGGUCCAGCAACCCAUCAUGGUGUCCAUUUUGGUGGAGGAGCUACAAUGGCGAUCCAACUUGUGGCCACACUUCCUUUUACACAGCCUGUUUUUAUCGAGUAACCAUGAACUUACUAAGUAACGACUCCAUUUUGUUGCUCCCUGCCUACAGACAGAAACUAAAACAAGAAGCUCCCGCGCUGAGGUCUGUUCAAUGCUGGUCCGACCAAUCUGAAUCCAUGCUCCAAGACUGCUUCCAUCACGUGGAUUGGGAUAUGUUUCGUAUUGCGUCAAACAACAACAUUAACGAAUAUGCUGAUUUGGUGAGCGAGUUCAUUAGAACGUGCGUUGAAGAUGUCGUUCCCAUAGCAACGAUUAAAACAUUCCCAAACCAGAAACCGUGGAUUGAUGGCAGCAUUCGUGUGAAACUGAAAGCGCGAACCACUGCUUUAAAUCAGGGCAAGGUGACCGGAAACAUGACCGAAUACAAACAGUGUAGCUAUUCCCUCCGCAAGGCAAACAAACAAGCUAAGCAUCAGUAUAGAGACAAAGUAGAAUCGCAAUUCAACGGCUCAGACACAAGAGGUAUGUGGCAG